rnacentral:rRNA from 1 species
UACAGAGGUCUCAAGCGUUGUUCGGAUUCAUUGGGCGUAAAGGGUGCGUAGGUGGCGCGGUAAGUCGGGUGUGAAAUUUCGGAGCUUAACUCCGAAACUGCAUUCGAUACUGCCGUGCUUGAGGACUGGAGAGGAGACUGGAAUUUACGGUGUAGCAGUGAAAUGCGUAGAUAUCGUAAGGAAGACCAGUGGCGAAGGCGGGUCUCUGGACAGUUCCUGACACUGAGGCACGAAAGCUAGGGGAGCAAACAGG